rnacentral:rRNA from 1 species
UACGGGGGGGGGCAAGCGUUGUUCGGAAUUACUGGGCGUAAAGGGCUCGUAGGUGGCCAACUAAGUCAGACGUGAAAUCCCCAGGCUCAACCUGGGAACUGCGUCUGAUACUGGAUGGCUUGAAUUCGGGAGAGGGAUGCAGAAUUCCAGGUGUAGCGGUGAAAUGCGUAGAUAUCUGGAGGAAUACCGGUGGCGAAGGCGGCAUCCUGGACCGAUAUUGACACUGAUGAGCGAAAGCCAGGGGAGCAAACGGG